rnacentral:rRNA from 1 species
CUAAGCCAUGCGAGUCAAGGGGGCUCGCAAGAGUCACCGGCAAACUGCUCAGUAACACGUCGAUAACCCUUACCUUUAGGUCUGGAGCAACUUCGGGAAACUGAAGCUAAUUCCGGAUAGGAGGAAGAUACUGGAACGUUCUUUCUCCCAAAGCUACGGCGCCUAAGGAUGGGACGGCGGCAGAUUAGGUAGUUGGUGGGGUAACGGCUCACCAAGCCUGGGAUCUGUAGGGGCCAUGAGAGUGGAAGCCCCGAGAAGGACACUGAGAUACUGGUCCUAGCCCUACGGGGUGCAGCAGGCGCGAAACCUUUGCAAUGCGCGAAAGCGUGACAAGGGGACCCAAAGUGCUUUACUUUUCGUAAGGCUUUUGUCAAGAAUAAAAAUCUUGGCGAAUAAGUGGUGGGCAAGACCGGUGCCAGCCGCCGCGGUAACCCCGGCGCCACGAGUGGGGAUCACGAUUAUUGGGCCUAAAGCGUCCGUAGCCUGUUUGGUAAAUUCUUUGUGAAAUUGUUGUGCUUAACGCAACAACGUGCAAGGAACACUGUCAAACUUGGAACUGGGAGGAGUCAGAGGUGUUCCGGAGGGAGCGGUAAAAUGUGAUAAUCUUCGGAGGACCACCUGUGGCGAAGGCGUCUGACUAGAACAGCUUCGACGGUGAGGGACGAAAGCCAGGGGAGCAAAACGGAUUAGAUACCCGAGUAGUCCUGGCUGUAAACUCUGCGAGCAAGGUGUUGCAUAUCCUUCGUGGAUGUGCAGUAUCGAAAUGAAGAUGCUAAGCUCGCCGCCUGGGAAGUAUAGUCGCAAGACCGAAACUUAAAGGAAUUGGCGGGGGAGCACCACAAGGGGUGCGGCGUGCGGUUUAAUCUAACUCAACGCAGAGCAUCUUACCAGCAGCGACGGCAGAAUGAAGGUCAGAUUGAAGGUUUUACCAGACAAGCCGAGGAGGUGGGUGCA